rnacentral:rRNA from 1 species
UUUGGGCGUGUCUCCCUUCUCGGGAGACUCUCUCAACCCCCACGAACCCUUGACCUCAAAUCGGGUGAGACUACCCGCUGAACUUAAGCAUAUCAAUAAGCGGAGGAAAAGAAACUAACAAGGAUUCCCCUAGUAACUGCGAGUGAAGCGGGAAAAGCUCAAAUUUAAAAUCUGGCGGUCUCUGGCCGUCCGAGUG